rnacentral:rRNA from 1 species
UACGUAGGGGCCGAGCGUUGUCCGGAGUUAUUGGGCGUAAAGCGCGCGCAGGCGGCCUCGCGCGCCCGACGUGAAAGCCCCCGGCUCAACUGGGGAGGGUCACGCGAUACUGAUCGACUCGAAGGCAGGAGAGGGUAGUGGAAUUCCCGGUGUAGCAGUGAAAUGCGUAGAGAUCGGGAGGAACACCAGUGGCGAAGGCGACUACCUGGACCAGCACUGACACUGAGGCACGAAAGCGUGGGGAGCAAACAGG